GACCUAAUAGCGAAGUCGGCAUCGCAUCCACUCCUGCUGGCAAGAUAAUGAAUCCGUGGGUGUCUGCGGAAGUACCUCGUUCGAAUCGAGGUUAGGUCU